rnacentral:rRNA from 1 species
UGACCGCUGGCGGCGUGCCUACUACAUGCACGUCAAGCGAACAGACGCGGAGCUUGCUCCUCUGACGUUAGCGGCGGACGGGUGAGUAACACGUGGAUAACCUACCUAUAAGACUGGGAUAACUUCGGGAAACCGGAGCUAAUACCGGAUAAUAUAUUGAACCGCAUGGUUCAAUAGUGAAAGACGGUUUUGCUGUCACUUAUAGAUGGAUCCGCGCCGCAUUAGCUAGUUGGUAAGGUAACGGCUUACCAAGGCAACGAUGCGUAGCCGACCUGAGAGGGUGAUCGGCCACACUGGAUCUGAGACACGGUCCAGACUCCUACGGGAGGCAGCAGUAGGGAAUCUUCCGCAAUGGGCGAAAGCCUGACGGAGCAACGCCGCGUGAGUGAUGAAGGUCUUCGGAUCGUAAAACUCUGUUAUUAGGGAAGAACAAAUGUGUAAGUAACUAUGCACGUCUUGACGGUACCUAAUCAGAAAGCCACGGCUAACUACGUG